UCAUAUUAUAAACAAGAAUUUCAUUAAGAUCGAAAAGGUAGCAUGAUCCCAAUAUAGCCAGAGUGUUAUAAAAUUCUAUAACCAAAUGUAACAAGUGACUAAACCAAGGUAACCAGAUCACAAAAGUACACAUUAUGUCCAACUACAUGCCUGACUUAACAUUUCAAGAACACGUACUGCUAGAAUGGAACACCAACAACUCUUUUGGCCAAAUAACACUUCCUUGACCAAUUUGACCGAGUGUUGUAAAAUAUUCAUCAUGAGGGCAUGGUAGUUGAACAUUUGGAUCAUGGACGACGUCAACAUAAACUUUGAAAUUUCCUUCCUCUAAUCUCCUAUCACCAAAAUCUGUGGACGGGUCGACAUCUUGCACAAUCCCCCUAGCAACAACCUGUAGAGGCCAGCGACAACCACCACGUAUAUCACAUUCCUUACCAAUGUGGAUACUGUCCAUCUGUAAGUUAAAGAUAUUAAUUAGCAUAUCAUUUUUGUGAAAUCUUUGACAUUUUAGAGAGUUUAGAACCUGAAGGUUUACUUUCAAAUAUUGAAAACUUACUGUAGCAGAGUGUCUAGAAGCUAAGUAUGGGAAGAUGGUGAUGAAAUAUCUGGUGUAAAUGUUCUCCCUUGCAUAGCAAACAAUGUUCUGAUCUCACUCAUGUUUGCAUCCAUUUUGGCCUCCAUGAUCUCGACCCUCUUCUCCAGCGCAGAAUUUCUCUCUAUCAACGCUGCGUUCUUUUUUAACACGGGCUCCAUCAUUUGAAUUUGUGUUUUACAGACUCCAGGUCCCAUGCCUCGAAAUCGACCUUUUCCAUCUCUUCCAACAGUCUACACUAAUGAAACCAUUUAACAUUUACAAAAAAAUGAAAUAUAUAUAUAUAUAUCUUGUGUUUAUAACAAAGUUAAGUCUCCAUACAUUUGCAAUUGCGUCAUUAAUUGAUGUUGCUUGAGAUUCAGGGUGCUUAGAGAUCUAGUUAUCGAUCGAAUCCUAUAAGCACAACGCAAGUAAAAAUUGUCGGUAAGAAUUCUGAAAUUUUGAAAUAAAAAUCAUAGUAUAAAACUUUAUUUGAAUAAAC
rnacentral:lncRNA from 1 species